rnacentral:rRNA from 1 species
UCAACAUGAGAGUUUGAUCCUGGCUCAGAACGAACGCUGGCGGCAGGCUUAACACAUGCAAGUCGAGCGCCCCGCAAGGGGAGCGGCAGACGGGUGAGUAACGCGUGGGAAUCUACCCUUGACUACGGAAUAACGCAGGGAAACUUGUGCUAAUACCGUAUGUGUCCUUCGGGAGAAAGAUUUAUCGGUCAAGGAUGAGCCCGCGUUGGAUUAGCUAGUUGGUGGGGUAAAGGCCUACCAAGGCGACGAUCCAUAGCUGGUCUGAGAGGAUGAUCAGCCACAUUGGGACUGAGACACGGCCCAAACUCCUACGGGAGGCAGCAGUGGGGAAUAUUGGACAAUGGGCGCAAGCCUGAUCCAGCCAUGCCGCGUGAGUGAUGAAGGCCCUAGGGUUGUAAAGCUCUUUCACCGGAGAAGAUAAUGACGGUAUCCGGAGAAGAAGCCCCGGCUAACUUCGUGCCAGCAGCCGCGGUAAUACGAAGGGGG